AGAGUUUGAUCCUGGCUCAGGAUGAACGCUAGCUACAGGCUUAACACAUGCAAGUCGAGGGGCAGCAUGGUCUUAGCUUGCUAAGGCCGAUGGCGACCGGCGCACGGGUGAGUAACACGUAUCCAACCUGCCGUCUACUCUUGGACAGCCUUCUGAAAGGAAGAUUAAUACAAGAUGGCAUCAUGAGUCCGCAUGUUCACAUGAUUAAAGGUAUUUUCCGGUAGACGAUGGGGAUGCGUUCCAUUAGAUAGUAGGCGGGGUAACGGCCCACCUAGUCAACGAUGGAUAGGGGUUCUGAGAGGAAGGUCCCCCACAUUGGAACUGAGACACGGUCCAAACUCCUACGGGAGGCAGCA
rnacentral:rRNA from 1 species